rnacentral:tRNA from 1 species
GGUUGUAGCUCAGUGGUAGAGUGCUUGCCUCGUACAUGUGAGGCCCUGGGUUCGAUCCUCAGCACCA